UAAUCUCAUUGUAUGCUGGACAGUAAAGUAAGAAAUGUUCUAAAUUUUCAUGUUGUUCCUCACAGCAGCAACAGUUGCACACUUUCCCUGGAGUGGAAGAACCUACAAGAAGAGGAGGAGUGACGGCAAGUUAGUUAAUGUUUAGAAAGAUGUCACUUUUCCACGUAACGCUCCACAGUUCCAUAUGAAAUUAACAUAGUAGUUUCCAUUAAUGAAGCACAUUUACAGAUUCCAAAGGACAGAAAGUGCUACAUUUUGUUCAGUUUGGUACAACGUUACUACUCCGAACAUGGCAGGAAGAUUAGUUAUUGAAGUUAAGCAGUCAAUAAGCAUAAAAUAUUCACAUAACAGUGAUGGAAAAAAUGUAGCACAACCUGUGGCAGUAAUGCCACAAACUGGAGCCGUAGUAACAAUCAAUUCAUAAUAUUAGUUGUCUUUCAACAGUGAGGACAUCAAGUUGUCAACUAGAAGUUCAUGUCACAAGAACACCAAAAGUUUUAGAAGUAAAGUCAUUAAGCGGAACUUUUCAAGUUUCAGAACCUAGUGCCAGUAACUCUGGUGGUGUCUGAAAAUUAAGUAGCAAGGAGUUCUGGAAGUAAUGCACCAGUAACUAUUAGUAGUAUUAACAAUACAUCUCCCUCAACAAAGUCAAGAAGAGAUGCCACAUGUACUGCCAGUCAUGACUCCAAAAUUAGAUAAACUUAUUCCUAGAGGUCCAAAGGAGAACACUAUUGAUGAAAGAUCUACCAGAGCACCAAAAACAAUUAAUCAAAAUUCCUGAAAAUGUUGCAGUACUCCAAAAAUUCUGCAUUCUGCUGUACUUCCAUAGAGUUGCACUCUCCAGUGUAAAAGUCCAGAAGUAGCUCACAAUAGCAGCAAAAGAUAUGGCUCUUAUGGUUUUGCUGAUAAUUGUCAAGUAAAUGUUAAUAUUUGUAAGACACCUAUGAACAAAUAUGGGGUCAUCAACUUGGUGAAAAGCAGAAGCAGUGUGAUCUUAGAGGAGGUGCAUAUAAAGACCUGGAAUGUGCCUUUGAUGUAGGGAAUGACCAGGAUAACCUUCCUUGUGCACUUUUUAGUACAGAAAACGGCAAAGAAUUUCCUGAGUGUUCUACUUUUUUACAUUUAAGAAAAACCUUCACUCGGCUUGAUAGUAUCAUAAAUGAUACUGAUACCAGUAGAUAUGAUUUUCAAGAAGAGUUUCAAAAGGUAAUGGAAAAAGUGAAGAAGAGAAGGUCUACACUCAAGUCGAAGAUCAUCAAUACAGUUUUGGUGACAUUAAGUCAUAUGGUUCAGUUUUACCCAUGCUGAGCAUCACAGAGAACUGAAAAGUGUAGCGGUUGGAACGUAGUAAGGAGAGAAUGGUGCGUAAGGUUGGCUGCAGUGAACCUUCGGCAGAAACUUUCUUGACAACUGAGUAUCGGCUACCAGUUCUUGGUUCGGCAAUACUUCCAAACAUUACAGAGAAGUUUCACAUGGCCCCGCAACAGAGAUAUUUUCCUGGUGUCACACAUUCUUGAACGUUCCACAUAUUUAGCUCCUGGACUCCAGUGCUGGUUACUUAUUUCCGCUAGUGUACUGGUGUAUGAUUGUGAACAAGCUGUGUAAGCACAUACUACUGACAAAAAGAUGUCCUCUACAGUGUGUGGAAAACCUUGUGAAAUGUCAGAUUCAACAGAUCAUAUAACCGAAGACACAUGGAAUAAACUGAAAUCCAAAACUUUGAACUGGAAGGGUCUUGAUAGAAUUGGAAAUUGUUUUUGAUAUUGUUCACUGGGAGCUGGAACCCUAUGGUAAACAUAUGGACAUUAACUGUCGAAAUGAUAUAUCAAGCUCAGAUUAACUAAAUCAAAGAAGAGAACAGAAAUAUGUGAGAGAAUUAACCUCAAGUCAGCAAGAACAGCAUAUAUCCUCAUCUGCACCAAAGCAUCUGCAAUCGGGUGUAGGACUAGCGUAUGACAAAAAUGUGUGUGGUGCAUGAAACCGGAGGAUACCAAGCUUCCUGAGUGAAUAGGACAGUGGCUUCUCAUAUCUUAUAAGCUGACAUGGAAUGUCUAAAAGCCACACCAUAGUGUUGAAAGAUGAUGCCAUGAGGGACAGAAUCAACUGCCUCAUUGACUGAAUCAUUGAUCCAUUUGCAGCAGACACAAGGUACCACCAUCAUUGCUGGUUCAAGUACAUAACUCCGUAUCAAAAAAUGUCUGGUGAACAAAAGAUCCCUCUCCUGCAGAAAGUGACUUUUUGUGAGGCACAAACUAUUUUCAUAGAUCAUGUUCAUCAAGCUAUUUUUGUUGACCAUGAGAUCAGGACACUUCAGGGAUUACCCAAAGAUUACCAAGGCAUCAUGGAAAUCUAUGGCUUACCUACAUCAGGGACCAAAUCAAGCUACAUAAAAGAUAUUCUAAUUAGAGAAUUUGGAACUGGAGUAGGGUUUUACAGUCAUUCUCUGAAGCAGCUGAGUGAGGUUGUAUAUGAUAGUAGUGGUGGUGGCUCAUAUUGAGGCUGGUAUCACAUCAAUGGGGAUUAUCAAUGAGCAUCUCGUAGAGAAUAUAGCAAACAGGUUGAGAGCUGAGAUCACACAAAUUGCGACAGUCCCCUGGCCUCCACAGGUAACUGAACUACUUCCUUGUUCAGCUUAACUCUUCACUCAAAACAUCUAACCAAGUUGAGUCUGACAUCCAAGGCUCACACACUAGCUUCACUGCUCUCAUGUCACAAGCAAGCCAGCAUUUACAUCAAUCAACCAGGUACUGGUGUAUGAUUGUGAACAAGCUGUGUGAAGCACAUACUGACAAAAAGAUGUCUUCUUCAGAGUUUGAGUCUCUUCUGCAGAGUUGAAAACCGUGUGAAAUGUCAGAUUCAACAGAACAUAGAACUGAAGAGACAUGGAAUAAAUUGAAAUACAAAGCUUGGAACUGGAAGGGUCUUGAUAGAUUUGGGAAUUGUUUUUGAUACUGUUCAUUGGGAACUGGGUCCCUAUGGUAAACAUAUGGACAUUAACUGUCGAACUGAUAUAUCAAGCUUAGAUAAACUAACAAGAUCAAAGAAGAGACAACAAAUAUAUGAGAGAAUUAACCUCAAGUCAGCAAGAACAACAUAUAUCCUCAUCUGCAAGCAUCUGCAAUCGGGUGUAGGUCUAGUGCAUGACAAAAAUAUGUCUCUGGUGCAUGAAACCGGAGGAUACCAAGCUUCCUGAGUGAAUAGGACAGUGGCUUCUCUUAUUUUAUCAGCCGACUUGGAAUGUCUUUAAAAGCCACACCAUAGUGUUGAAAGAUGAUACGAUGAGGAACAGAAUCAACUGCCUCAUUGACUGAAUCACCGAUCCAUUUGCAGCAAAGACAAGUUACCACCAUAAAUGCUGGUUCAAGUACAUAACUCUGUAUCAAAAAAUGUCUGGUGAACAAAGAUCCCUCUCCUGCAGAAAGUGACUUUUUGUGAGGCACAAACUAUUUUCAUAGAUCAUGUUCAUCAAGCUAUUUUUGUUGACCAUGAGAUCAGGACACUUCAAGGAUUACUCAAGAGAUUACCAAGGCAUCAUGGAAACCUAUGGCUUACCUACAUCAGGGACCACUUCAAGCUACAUAAAAGAUAUUCUAAUUAGAGAAUUUGGAACUGGAGUAGGGUUUUACAGUCAUUCUCUGAAGCAGCAGGGUGAGGUUGUAUGUGAUUGUAGUGGUGGUGGCUUAUAUAUUGAGACUGCUAUCACGUCAAUGGGGAGUAAAUGAGGAACUCCAAGAGAAUAUAGAAAACAGGUUGGGAGCUGAGAUCACACAAAUUGCGACAGUCCCCUGGCCUCCACAGGUAAUUGAACUUCCUUUUCAGCUUAUCUCUUCACUCAAAAGAUCCAGCAAAGCUGAGUCUGACAUCCAAGGCUCACACACUAGCUUCACUGCUCUCAUGUCACAAGCAAGACAACAAUUACAUUAAUCAACUUGGGUAUGAACUUGCAUGGACUUACUCGCAGUAAAGAGCUAGUUAAUACAUUUUAGAAAGUGGGGGUUUGUAUUUUGUAUUCACAGAUACUCCUUUGCAGGGACAUUAAAGGCAAGGUACCACAACCAACACUAAAUCAAAGGAAUCAUGUUUUUUUUUACAAAUUCAGUACGUACUGAUAGGUACUGGAUUUUAGAUGUUUGAAUUCCAUAGAUUAAAAGACUGUUUAACAGUAGUAAAGUGGUUAAAAAAAAUGGCCUAUUAGUUCAUUUAAAGUUAAAAGAAAAUUACUGUUUUGUUCAUAAGAUAAGGGGCAAGUUUCAUUUUAAAAGAAAAAUACACAUUUUGUUAUUUUUUAAUUUUAUGGGAUUGGCCAAUGGUCAAGUUUUGUCUUCAAUGUGUGUGUAGUCGUCAUAAUUACACCACAGUUCAGUAGGGGGUUAUACAAGCUAUUUCAAAUGGGUGGUCAACUUUACCCUACCCAUAUUUACCUCUGGUCAACUUUACCCCGACCCAUUGGGUAAUGCUGACUGCCCAUAUAUCUAAUUGCAUCUUGCUUAUUAUAGGUAUUUUUUUUCUUUUUCGCUAUGGCUAGUAGAAGUACUAUGGAGAGAGAUUUCCCAUAUAUAACAUUCUAAUAAAAGCAAUUUAUUCUGGUUGAAA